GACGAACGCUGGCGGCGUGCUUAACACAUGCAAGUCGAACGGAAAGGCCCUGCUUUUGUGGGGUGCUCGAGUGGCGAACGGGUGAGUAACACGUGAGUAACCUGCCCUUGACUUUGGGAUAACUUCAGGAAACUGGGGCUAAUACCGGAUAGGAGCUCCUGCUGCAUGGUGGGGGUUGGUAAGUUUCGGCGGUUGGGGAUGGACUCGCGGCUUAUCAGCUUGUUGGUGUGGUAGUGGCUUACCAAGGCUUUGACGGGUAGCCGGCCUGAGAGGGUGACCGGCCACAUUGGGACUGAGAUACGGCCCAGACUCCUACGGGAGGCAGAAGUGGGGAAUAUUGCACAAUGGGCGGAAGCCUGAUGCAGCAACGCCGCGUGCGGGAUGACGGCCUUCGGGUUGUAAACCGCUUUCGCCUGUGACGAAGCGUGAGUGGCGGUAAUGGGUAAAGAAGCACCGGCUAACUACGUG
rnacentral:rRNA from 1 species